AUUAAUAUAAGCUAAUAUAAGCUAAUGAGUUCAUACCUCAUUAAUGAAUUUAUUUUAAUU
rnacentral:tRNA from 1 species